ensembl:lncRNA
AAUUGCCCCAUUGGAAGUAUUUGGAGGAGAUGCUGUUAGCCCAGCUCCUGGCUCCCGCGUGGGUUUGGCGAGGGAGAACUCUGGGCAUGCGCAGGCCUCUCACCAACCGCUCGAAGCAGGUGGACCCCGCGCGAGACGCACGCAGGCCGGUGGGCGGUGCACGCGCAGACCCCGCCUCACUGUGGGGGCGCCCGCCAGUAACGGCCGUCCAAGUGGUGGGCCCCAGGGUCUGCAUCUCUGCCCCUGGCUCUGCACCCCCUCGUCCGGUUAGGCCUGGGGCCGCCCCCACCCGAGCCAGGCGGGGCCACAGGGCCCUGGCUGUUUGCUGGGAAGGCCUGGGGACCAGAGAGACACGGAACGUGUCCCCCGUCCUGGUCCCUAGACACCACCGCGCGGUCCGCCCAGGGCCUGGCCGGGUCCCCGGGAACGGAGCUGGAGACACUGAGUCUGGCCAUGGCGGGGGGGGGGGGGGGGGGGGGGGGGCGUCCCCUGCCCCUCCUCCUCUGCACCCUGCCCCCUUGGCUGAUGGCAGGACACUGGAGACAAGGCCCAGCACUUUGAGUGCCUUCCUCUUCUUGCUUUAAAUCCCAGCCCUCUCUCCCGAGGUCAGAGUCGCUGACUCCAUCUUCAGUGGAGGAAACUGAGGCUCUGAGAGUCGCUGCAGGAGCUGGCCUAUCACAGGGCUGGGACGUGGCCUUGCUAUAGGUUUGAACCCAGGUCGUUCUGACCCCAAAUCGGUUCCAGCACAGGAGCCUUGGAGAUAGCUCUGAACCAGGCUGACAUGGAUGAGGCAGCAUCGUCCACCUGCCGGAUGGAGAGUGACAGUGAGGGGCUGGGCCACGGUCCCCGAGACCCAGCGUUCGUGUGCCCAGGGCUCCACGACGUGUGGGCAGCUGAAGGCCAGGUGCGGCUGGAGGCCCUGCGGGGGCCCGAGGUCCCUGAGGACGAAGACGGUGUCGACUCCCAGAGCCCAAGGAUGGCGAGAGCAGCGGAGGCCCUGGACUCUGCGGGCGCCCCAUGCCAGCAUCCCGCAGGGGCGCCUCUCAGCCACUUCUGUGGUGUGGAGGGGGUGACUGGGCACCGGAAGGAAGAGCUGGGAAGAGCUGUUCGGGGAGGGGGGUGGCGUAAUCACCUUGUUUUCCUGGACAUCAGGGGCCUCGGGGUCACAGCCCACAUUGUCGUGACACACUGCAGAGUGGGGGAGCUGGGCACGUGCUCACGCAGUGCAGGGCAGCGUCCCCACGGCUGAGGUCGGCGCCCCACCUGAGCUGCUCACGGCCGUGGGGUGGGAGCUGGCCCUGGCCCUGGAGUCUGUGGGGGGGACCUGGUGACUGAUGGAGGGGCCAGCUCUGCAGGGGUCACAUCUGCUGGGUGAGUGGUGCUCUGGGGUGUCCAUGGGCAUACCCAGGGACCGUGUGCCCUGUACCCGGGAAGGUGCAGGGGACGUGCACAGAGGGCAGGGCCUGGGUGGUGGACAGAGCGCCGUGCUGGUGGGCAGUGCUCCUCGGAAAGUCAGCUGAAGCUAGCCUGGUGGACUGGCUCCAGGGCUGGGCCGGCUCUGCCUCUGGCAGCUGUGCCCAAAGUGCUGCCCGAGCCAGUGGAGAUGGGCGUGGCUUAGCUCUGGAGGGGAAGCCAGAGCGCGCUCUGACCCUGGAGCUGGUCCACAGGUGAGAAGGCGCUCGCGGCUGUGAGUGGGCCAGGUCAGGUCAGCCUGUUGAGCAGCGUGUCAUCUUGGCAGCAGAAGUGCGCUCGGGUGGUCUGGACUGUCUUUUUGGGAACAAGGUGCCCAGCUGGUCUUGGUCUCCAGUCUGUAAGUGCUUGGCUUCCCAGCUGGGUGUAGACCCGGCAGGGCACCCUGUGACUGCCCAGUGCAGGGGCAAUGAGAAGGUGCUGUUGGCAACCUUGAGCCCCUUUGGCUACAUGUGGGGGAGGGUUGAGCUGGCUCCAUGCCUGACCUCACCCCUCUGGUGACGGUCAGCAUCUCCAGGACAAAGUCAUGGUGGGUGGUGGAGCCAGUGGCACUGAGCACAUGGUGUUGUCAGAGGUCUUCACCUCUGGUGGGGCGGGGCACAGGAGGGUCAGCCGAGCUCUGGAGGGGGCUGCAGGCCAGGACAAGGGGCCUGCGGGCCGGGGCGAGGGGCCUGCUCGGAGACCGCAAGCAGGUUCAGCUGCGCCUCUUGCAGGGUCUUAGUUCCCUGACAGGGGAUUGAACCCGGGCCUGUAGCAGUGAAAGCCUGAGUCCUAACCCCUGGGCCACCAGGGAGGCCCCUCGGGACUGUUUCAUAAGAGGACGGGAGCCACUCUGACGUGUGGUGACAAUGAGUAGUUCCAGCUGAUCAUUUCCUCUUCUCAAAUUUAUGUGCUCUCGCCUCAUGUAUUGUUAAGAUGUUUCUUCUCCCCUGAUUUAACACACACUCGAUAGAAUACCGUAGCACACAUCUCAUUGUGGAAACUUGGCCUUUUCAUUCUUCGCUCCCAUCUCUGCCCCGGUGGCCUUCUGAAUUGCUGCCACAGAGGACGUUGUUGUCGUGGUCCCUGUGUGCACAGCACUGUUUUCGUACGGUUGUGGGGUUCUCUUUGCCUCAUUGCCCUGCAUGCUGCCCUUCUGGCCUGGGGGCUGAAGCCUGGGGCAUUCUUCAUGGUGUGGCUUUUUGGAGCCGUUGGGUUUACAUCCUGGAAUGUGAAGUCAAGUGGGCCUUAGGAGGCAUCACUAUGAACAAAGCUAGUGGAGGUGAUGGAAUUCCAGUUGAGCUAUUUCAAAUCCUAAAAAUGAUGCUGUGAAAGUGCUGCACUCAACAUGCCAGCAAAUUUGGAAAACUCAGCAGUGGCCACAGGACUGGAAAAGGUCAAUUUUCAUUCUAAUCCCAAAGAGGCAGUGCCAAAGAAUGCUCAAACUACUGCACAAUUGCACUCAUCUCACACGCUAGUAAAGUAAUGCUCAAAAUUCACUAAGCCAGGCUUCAACAGAACAUGAACUGUGAACUUCCAUAUGUUCAAGCUGGUUUUAGAAAAGGCAGAGGAACCAGAGAUCAAACUGCCACCAUUCGAUGGAUCAUCGAAAAACUGAGAGAGUUCCAGAAGAACAUCUAUUUCUGCUUUAUUGACUAUGCCAAAGCCUUUGACUGUGUGGAUCACAAUAAACUGUGGACGAUUCUGAAAGAGAUGGGAAUACCAGACCACCUGACCUGCCUCUUGAGAAACCUGUAUGCAGGUCAGGAAGCAACAGUUAGAACUAGUCAUGGAACAACAGACUGGUUCCAAAUCAGGAAAGGAGUAUGUCAAGGCUGUAUAUUGAUACCCUGUUUAUUUAACUUAUAUGCAGAGUACAUCAUGAGAAACGCUGGGCUGGAUGAAGCACAAGCUGGAAUCAAGAUUGCUGGGAGAAUUAUCAAUACCUCAGAUAUGCAGAUGACACCUCCCUUAUGGCAGAAAGUGAAGAACUAAAGAGCCUCUUGAUGAGAGUGAAAGAGGAGAGUGAAAAAGUUGGCUUAAAGCUCAACAUUCAGAAAACGAAGAUCAUGGCAUUUGGUCCCAUCACUUCAUGGCAAAUAGAUGGGGAAACAGUGGAAACUGGCUGACUUUAUUUUUUGGGGCUCCAAAAUCACUGCAGAUGGUGACUGCAGCCAUGAAAUUAAAAGAUGCUUACUCCUUGGAAGAAAAGUUAUGACCAACUUAGACAGCAUAUUAAAAAGCAGAGACAUUACUUUGCCAACAAAGGUCCAUCUCAUCAAGGCUAUGGUUUUUCCAGUGGUCCUGUAUGGAUGUGAGAGUUGGACUGUGAAGAAAGCUGAAUGCCAAAGAAUUGAUGCUUUUGAACUAUGGUGUUGGAGAAGACGAAUCUUGAGAGUCCCUUGGACUGCAAGGAGAUCCAAGUAGUCCAUCUUAAAGGAGAUCAGUCCUGAGUGUUCACUGGUAGGACUGAUGUUGAAGCUGAAACUCCAAUACUUUGGCCACCUGAUGCGAAGAGCUGACUCAUUUGAAAAGAUCCUGAUGCUGGGAAAGAUCGAAGGUGGGAGAAGGGGUCGACAGAGGAUGAGAUGGUUGGAUGGCAUCACCGACUCAACGGAGAUGAAUUUGAGUAAACUCUGGGAGUUGGUGAUGGACAGGGAGGCCUGGCAUUCUGCGGUCAAUGGGGUCGUGAAGAGUUGGACACAAAUGAGCGACUGAACUAAACUGAGCUGGGUUUGUUCAGCAGGACCCCAGCCCUUCUCUGCCCCAGCUCAUGAAGCAGCUGGUGAGGAGGAGAGGCUAGCAGAUUCCAUGCUGGAGUGGGAGUUCUGUGGGAAUAACGGGAUCACUGAUGGAAUAGCAUUUGCCGGUCCCAAGUAAGAGAGACAGACAGCAGACAGAUGCCUCUAGAGCAAGGAACAUGGGAGCGUCCGAGUGUGUGAGCAGACCCUGGGACCAGAGGGGCAGCCUGGGGGCAGAGACAAAGGUCUUCACUGUCGUUUUGUUUUAUUAUUCACUUAGUUUAUAUAUGUUAUAUAUUUUUAUUUUACUUUUUGGCCUCACUAUGCCGCUUGUGGGACUUGGUUCCCUGACCAGGGAUCAAACCCAUGCCCCCUACAGUGAAAACACGAGUCCUAAGCACUGGCCUGCUGUGGAAUUCCCUUUACUGUGUAUUUUAUAAAGCCUGACUCUCCUGUCUCAGCUUUAUGUUUGGAAAGCUCUGGGCCCAGGGAAUACCACGGUCUACAGUGUGAAUACCAGAUUCCCCUGGUCGUCCGGAUCAUCUCCGAGGAAGCAGCCUGACCCUCUCCAGAACGCACACCAGCCUCACCCCCCAGGAAAGAGCUCCGAUUGCCCUUCUUUGGGAUUGGAAUGAAAACGAACCUCUUCCAGUCCUGCGGCCACUGCUGAGUUUUCCAAAUUUGCUGGCAUAUCGAGUGCAGCACCUUCACAGCAUCAUCUUCUAGAAUUUGAAAUAGCUCAGCUGGAAUUCCAUCUCCUCCACUAGCUUUGUUUGUAGCAAUGCUUCCUAAGGCCCACUGGACUUCACACCCCAGGAUGUCUGGCUCUCGGUAAGUGACCACACCAUUGUGGUUUCCAGGUCAUUAAGACUUUUUUGUAUAGUUCUGUGUAUUCUUGCCACCUCUUUUUAAUCUCUUCUGCUUCUGUUAGGUCCAUACCGUUUGUCUUUGAUCGUGCCCAUCUUUGCAUGAAAUAUUCCUUUGGUAUCUUUAAUUUUCUUGAAGAGAUCUCUAGUCUUUCUCAUUCUAUAGUUUUCCUCUGUUUGCAUUGUUCACUUAAGAAGGCUUAUCUCUCCUUCCUAUUCUCUUGAACUCUGCAUUCAGUUGGGUGUCUGUCCCUUUCUCCUUUGCCUUUGGCUUCUUAGCUAUUUGUAAGGCCUCCUUGGACAACCAUUUUGCCGUUUUGGGUAACUUUUUCUUAGCCAAUGGGAAAGCAAGCAGCUCAGCCAAUGGGAAGCCCUCACCAGCCCUGAACUGGCACUUUCCUCCAAUGGAUUUUCCUCCAAAGCUCGGUUUCCCAACUGCCUACUAUUCUCUGCAGAGUAUUCUGUUUUGCGGACUUGCCUAUGGUUUUUGCUGUGGUAUGCUUGUCCUGAUAGCAAUCCUCUUGCCUUUCCUGAUGAAACCCACUUUGUUAGUAAAAUCACUGCUUUUCAAUAAAUUUGGAUUCCUUACUCCACUGGCCCUAGGCACCCCAGCCAGGUUCUUUCAAAUCCAAGUUUCCCUUCCCUUGUGUAUCUGGUAACAGGGAGCACAGAAGGCCACCAGAAGCCCCGAGCGUCUCCUGAGUUAGCUGCGCCUCUUUCUCACUAUCCGCUCAUCCAUCAGCCCCUCACUCUCUCCUCCUCUCCAAGCCCCUCCCAUUUCUCCUGCACCUGAUGACCUGGCCGAGCAGUCAAUUUCAGGGUGCUUUCCUCUCUCUCCCAGAGGUUCUGCCCACCUGGUAACAGUCCCCCAAUUCUACUGUGGGGCACUGUUACCCCUGCUAGCCUCCCGGGGAACCAGACAGACAGCUGGACAGGUAUCAGGGGACAGCAGCCCAUAGCUAGCCCCCUCAUCCUCUGGACCUGCCCUGCCUCCAUGCCCUUCCCACCAGCAAAGCCUCUGCCCCCUGUCCUGCCCAAGGGGCCCUGAUCUGAGCCAAUGGCACAAAACCUUCUAUAGAACUCUUGGUGUGCCAGACAUUUUAAGAGCUUUCCCUGUAUUAGCUCAUUAAUCUUCACCUGAUUCUUACCUUUAAAAGGUAACCAAGGCCCAGAGAAAGGAAGUGACCUACACAAAUUAAGUAGUAGAGACAUGCUUUAGACCCAAAGAACUGGUCCAGAGGCUGCCCUCGCAUCCAGUCGACAUACUCCAGCACUUGCUGGAGCCCCAAACCCGUUCCUGUCCAAAUCGUGGUUCUUAAGGGUUGCUUUAAGCCCUUUCUGCUCUCCUCAAGCCCUCAGUUCUUUGCCCCAGUGCUCGGCUGGACCAUGAAGAGCAACUUCGGUUUUGGUCCAUUGAGAACUAAGAAGGGUCUGAGAUUGGGCCCACUUGCACACUAACAACUGAGCCUGUCACCAUUUCCCAGAUGCUGGAAGAAGACCCGGGGUUCCAGGGUCAGAGACAAAGGAAUUUACAACUCUCCCCAAGGCAGCGAGCACACGCUUCAUGUUCCCAAGGGGACCCUGUGCCCUCCCAGCCCUGUCCUGGUGAUGGGAUGCUGAAAGGUCCCCAGGGAGCCCAUUUCUCCUCCAGCCUGGACUAUGGAACUCCAGGGGCCUUACUUAGGCCUCUUGUCAGACCCGUCUCCUGAGAACUAACCCUGCCUGGGAGGCGUGUGUGCCUGGGCAUGAAGACCUCAUCUGUCAGCCUGUGCUCAUGGCUCUGCCACCAGCAUUUAGGAGGCGCCUGCAUGGGAUAGGGGGCUUCCCAGGUGGCGCAGUGGUAAAGAAUCUGCCUGCCAACGCAGGAGAUGCAGGAGACUGCGGGUUCAAUUCUUGGGUCAGAAGAUCCGCUGGAGUAGGAACUGUCAACCCGCUCAAGUAUUCUGGUCUGCAGAAUUCCAUGGACCUAGGAGCCUGGCGGACUACAGUCCAUGGGAUCGCAAAAAGUCGAAUAUGACUGAGCACGCGCGCAGGCGGAAGCCUUCAAGGAAUAGGCGCUCGAUAACUGGGGGAGAAUGAAGGCGUCCAGGCAGCAGGGAACCGCCUCUUGUGCCCUCCCCACCGGUGGGUGCCAUCAGGCCACUUCCCACCUCUUUCUUCUCCUCAUCUCCUUCCAGGGUGCACUCCCCAGCAGGGCAUUCAGUGUGUGUGUGUGUAUAUGUGUGUGGCACGCGCACACUUGAGCCCAUGUGCGGAUGCCCAAAGGAAAAGGUCCCACGUGGGAGGGGUGGGCAGGGUGGGUGCGCAGGGUACCCCAGGACCUCAGGCAGUCUGGUUCCCAGAGCAAACCCCACGGCAGGGCUGAAGCCCGGCCUCCGAGCCUGGAAGCCUGCCUUCCCCUCUGCGCGGGGCUCUCCUGGCCUGUUUCCUAACUGUCCCGUGAGGGCUUGGACAAGGACUGCUCAGGAGGCUCAGGGCGCUCACUGCGCUGACUCUCCCUCCUGGGGGCUGGGGGUGCGCUGCAGGCUCUCAGCCCUCCCCGCGCGCCUCGGAGGGGGUGCGGGGUGACCCGCCAGGGGGCGGGGCCACCCGCCAGGGGGCGGGGCCUCGGUCACCCCGCCCCACGCGGCCGCACCGCGCACGCGCGUGCCCCCUCCCGCCCCGCCGCCAACGGCGCCUCUGGUCGUGACCGGCCCGGCGGCCCCCCAGUCGGCUGCGCUGGGGCCUGUGUCCCCUUGAGCUCCGACUCCGCCCCCGCCGCAGCCAGGCCGGCCGCCGAGCGCUGGGCUGGGUGCUCCUGGAGAGCGGGAGGCAGGCCAGUCCCCGCGCAAGCCCCCAGCCCUCCGUCUGGACCCCAGGGCCCGGCUGGUGGAGGAGACUGAGGCUCAGAGAGUCACCGCGUGAGCUGGCCUGUCACGGGCCAUGACGUGGCCCCGCCGUGGGUUUGAGCAGGCCAACCUGGCCCCGAAGGCUGUCCUUGCACAGGAGCCUGAGGCUCUGAGUCCGGCCUUGGAGGCUGACAUGGAUGCAGGGCGUCCCUCACCUGCUGGUUGGAGAGCAGCGAGAAGCUGCCGUGGCAGACCCUGAGACCAGCCCUCAUGUGCCCGAGGCUGCCAAGGGCGUGUGGAGCUGAAGACGAGGGCUGCUGGAGGCCGAGGGCCGUGGGGAUGCUGAGGACGGAACGUCUACUUCUGGCCCCCGAGGAGUGGAGGAUCAGCAGCGCCCAGACCCCGCAGGGCGCCCCGUGCCAGUAUCCACCUCCAGGGGCUUCUAGGAGCUGGGGCGUCUUGGUCCCCUCUGGGUAUGGAGGGAGUGAAGUACGCUGGAACUGGGAGGGGCUGUCCCAGAGAAGGGGUGGGGCAGUCAUCUCCUCCCCCUGGCCACGAGGGGGGCCAAGCUCAUGUUGGAAAAGCUCACGUUGAUCCUCUCUGCUUGGGCCUGGAGUGCACACCGAGCAGGUGGGCACCUCCCCAGCUGCUGAGUUCAGGCCGUCUCCUUAGCUGAUCCCAGAUCCUGGAAUGGGAGCUUCUGCUGGUCCUGGGCUCCGUGUUGGGGAACUGGUGGCUGGAUGGAAGGACCGGCUUUGCCGUUGUCAGACCUGACGGAUGGAUGCUCUUGAGUGCCCAAGGGCAUAGGCACCAGGGACCCAAGCCUGGAAGGUGUGAGGGAAGCACCCAGAGGCAGAGCCUGGUGGUGGUGGUGGGUAGGGCCUGUGACGUGGGCAGUGCCCCUUUGCAGACUUCAGCAGGUCCUCUUGUUUGCAGAUCACAGACAGCACCUGAGGCUGUGGUCUGUGAGGGGCCGGGUCAGCCCGUCCAUGGCAGCCACCAAAGCCUGGGGGCUGGCAAGGUUCAGGAUGAAACUGUAGUCUGGGAGAGAUCUGGACUGCCAGUUGGGGUGAAAAGUGCCCGGUAGCCUAGUCCACUCCAAUCUAUGAUUGUUGUCCACCCAACAACGCAUAUCUGGAGAGAGGCCCUGGCUGUUGUCGGGGGCUGGUGAGAUGAUGCCCUUGAUUAGAUAGGCAAAGAAGAGCAAAAUAAACCCAAGGUUAGCAGAACAAAGUAAAUAAUGAAAUUCAGAGCAGUGAUAAACAGAAUAGAGGAGCACUCGAGAAAAUCAGUGACACCAAUAGUUCUUUCUUUUAAAGAUUUAAAAUAUGGACAACAUGGGACAAUUGUAUGUCAACAAGUUGCUUAACCUAAAUGAAAUGGAUGAAUUCCUAGAAACACACAAGCUAGCAAAACUGACUCAAGAAGAAAUGGAAAGUCUGAGUAGACCUCUUAGAAGUAAACAAACUGAAGCAGUAAUAAGAACCCAACAGGGAAAAACCCAGAACCUGAUGCCUUCAUUGGUGUUUUGUCUCAGAUACUUAAAGAUAGAAAACAGAUCCUAAAUUCUUCAAAAAGUACAGAACAAGCAAACACUUUUAAACUCAUUUUGUGAUGACAUUAACAUAACUUCAAAGAUUCUGUAAAGAGAGUAGGACCAUAAAGAAAGCUGAGUACUGAAAAAUGGAUGUUUUUGAACUGUGGUGUUGGAGAAGAUUCUUGAGAGUCUCUCGGACUGCAAGGAGAUCCAACCAGUCCAUCCUAAAGGAAAUCAGUCCUGAAUGUUCAUUGGAAGGACUGAUGCUGAAGCUGAAUCUCCAAGACUUUGGCCAUCUGAUGUGAAGAACUGACUCAUUGGAAAAGACCCUGAUACUGGGAAAGAUUGAAGGUGGGAGGAGAAGGGGACAACAGAGAAUGGGAUGUUGGAUGGCAACAUGGACUCGGCAGACAUGAGUUUGAGCAAGCUCCAGGAGUUGGCGAUGGACAGGGAAGCCUGGUGGGCUGCAGUUCAUGGGGUCACAAAGAGUCAGACGUGACUGAGCGACUGAACUGAACUGAAAGAUGCCAUAAGAAAAGACAUCUGUAGGCCGAAAAUCCAUUAGAAAGAUGCGAAAAUCUUCAGCAAAAGGCGGGCAGGCAGAACCCAGCAGCAUAUUGAAGGAACUGUAUAGUCAUCUCCAGUGCUGUCUAUCUCAGGAAUGAGCAGGGCUGUUCAGCACAGUUAAUCGGUGUCAUACACCACCUCAAUAAAAGCACGUGGUCAUCUCAACUGAUGUAGAAAAAGCAUUUAGAACUUUGAAUAAACACAAGCCUUUUUUUUUUUUAAUAGCUGCUCUCAAUAAAGUAGAAAUAGAAGAGCAUUUCCUUCACAUGAUUUAGGAUAUUUGAGAAAAACACAUACAUCAUACUCGGGAGAAAGGCUGAAAGUUCUCUCCCUAAGGAUGGGAGUAAGUCAGUGAUGCCCACUUUUGCUUUUCAUUUCAAAAUGGUAAUGGAAAUCUGAUAUGGAAAUAGAUAUAUGUCUUGCUUAGACGGUAUAAAAUUCGUUUGCAAUGUGGGAGUCCUGGGUUCAAUCCCUGAGUCAGGAAGAUCCCCUGGAUAAGGAAUGGCAACCCACGCCAGUAUUAUUACCUGGAGAAUGGCGUGGGCAGAAGUCGCUGGUGGGCUACAGUCCCUGGGGUUGCAAAGAAUCUGACAUGAUGGGGCAACUAACACUUUCACUUUCAUAUCAAUAGAAUUGAGAAAUCCAGGCAAUUGAUUUUGAACUUGUAUAUCAAGAUCAUUCAUAAGAGAAAAAGUCUUUUCAGCAAAUGGUCUGGGGAAACCGAAUGCCCACAUGCCACAGAACGAGGGUGGAGCCUUACCUCACAUGAAAGAAAAACUAAUUAUGGAACAAGGACCUAAAUUUAAGACCUAAAAUGGAACCAUCUUAGAAGAAAACAUAGGGAUAAAUCUCAUACCCUUGAUGUGAUAUUUAAUAGAAUGGCUAUUAUACAAGAGACCAAAAAAAAAAAAAAAACAGAAAAAUUGGACUUUAUCAAAAUGAAAACCUUUUGUGAAUGAAAGGGCAAUCUCAAAAGACUAUAAAGAAGACCCAAAUAAUGGUUUAAAAUAUUGGCAAAUAAUAAAUCUUCUAAAGGUCUUAUAUCCAGAAUACAUAAAGGACUUUUACACAAGAGCAUAGACACAGCAUCAUUGCAAAUAAUAGACAUUUCUCCAAAGAAGAUACACAGAUGGCCCGUGAAGCUCAUGGAAGGAUGAUCAGCAUCACCAGGUGUUAGAGAAAUGCAGGCCAGUGCCACAGGGACACACUGCUUCACACCCACUGGGACAGCUGUCAUGCAGUGAACAGUAACAGAUGGUGAGGAUGUUGAUGAAUUGGGAUUCUUGUACACUGGUGGGUGGGGGGUGCCGUGGAAGAGGGGGAGUGGGCAACAGCAAGUGAGUGCUACAUGGCUACAGGGUUUCUUUUGGGGGUGAUGAAAACGUUAGGGAACUAGAGAAUGGUGGUGGUGCACAGCAUGGUGAAUGUAGUUAGUGCCACCAAAUCAUGCAGUUAAAUAUGUUGGAAAAGAUGAACUUUUACUUGAAAGUUAACUCACAAAGCACCAUGAAGAAACCAUAGAGUAUGUGCAACGAAAAGCAGAAAAGGAUACCCUCACAGGUGAGGAAGGAAGACUCUGGUUCUGGAGGUGACACCAGCUGGGUUUCAUGAGCAGCUACUGGAGGUGGGUUCAGGGCUUUGUGGGUUGGUGGCUGGAACAGGCUGAGCUCUGGGGCUGGUGCUGGUGUUGACUCCUGCUGUGUCGACUGCACCAGCCAUAGCUCUGCACGGGGCUCCAGAGCGGGCUCUUUGGCAGUAGGUGGGCGAGAGCUAGAUCUGGGGCUGAUUCUAGUCCUGAGACUUGAACUGGCUCUGUCUCUGGAAUUGAUGUUGGAGCAGGUUCUGGCUCUGGAGCUGGGGAUGGAGCUGACUCCAGCAUUGGUGACAGAACUGCCCUGUCUCCCGGAUGAUGGUGACGGGAGGCUAGAGCUUCUCCCAGCUUUGGUGUUGGAGCGCGAACUCUUGUUGCAGCUGCUGUUUUCUCUGGUGUUGCAGUCCUUUAAUGGACCAGAGCCUGGCGGUCCGGAGUCGACAAUAAGCAAGUGAAAGAGAGAAAAAAGAAAGACAGAUAUGGGGACCCAAGCUCUGAUGGAGCAAGGGUAUUUUAUUAGCAGAAAUGCAGGCUUAUAUGUCUUUAGUGGGAUGAUUACUCAGCUAUUACACAGGAUGAAAAUUUGUCAACAGCCACAAUAUGGAUAGUCUAAUACAUAGAAGGUUACUGACGCUGAAAAGAGUCACUGCAUGUCUCAUCCUAUGACCUCAGUCCUGAGAACUGCGGGUAGCUCUAUUCAUUCUCGGAAUAGGAACUGAUAAGGAACAGAGAAUCCUCGAGAAAUAGAAAACAGCAUGCAGGAAUCCUGUUAAAUGUUCCCUGGCACUCGGGACUGCGCGUGCUUAAGAGUGGACGUAGUAGUAAGAACCAACUAGAGCUGGUUCUGGAGUGGAUGUAGUACUAGAGCUGGUUCUGGAGUGGGUAGAUGUAGUACUAGAGCUGGCUCUUGACUGGAUGUAGUUGACUGGACGUAGUACUAGAGCUGGUUCUGGACCAGACUCUGAUUUGAGCUGGUUCUAAUUCUAGGCCUGGUGCUAGAACUAUCACUGGAGUUUCCACAGGAGCUGGUAAUAAAACUGCCUCUCUCUUUGUAGUUUGUGUUCAGACUGGCAUUCAAGAUUUUUCUACCUCUAGUUUUGGUGCUAGAGCUGAUGCUGGAGCUCUUUCCAGCCCUGGCGGUGGUGCUAGAACUGCCGGUAACUCUGGAGCUGGGGCCGGCCCGUGCUCGAACCCUGGAGCUCAUGCUUGAGCCAGGUCGUCCUCUGAACCUGGCAUUGCCUCUGACUCUGUUGGAGCCAGUGCUGGCUCUUGAUGAGCCCGCCUCAGGGCUUCCCUGGUGGCCCAGAGAUUAAAGCGUCUGCCUGCAAUGCAGGAGACCUGGGUUUGAUCCCUGGGUCAGGAAGAUGCCCUGGAGAAGGAAAUGGCAACCCACUCCAGUAUUCUUGCCUGGAGAAUCCCAUGGACGAAGGAGCCUGGUAGGCUACAGUCCACGGGGUCGCAAAGAGUCAGACACGACUGAGUGACUUAAUUUUCACUUUCCAGUGAGGGGAAGGGUGGCAUCCUUUCUUUCAGGGAUGGGCAUGCUGCCAGGAAGGCAGCCAUUCAAAAGAGGUUGGUACCCAGAGAGGUCCUGAAUGAGGGGAUCAAGAGGACACUCAGCCUGACAAGCUCACAAGGAUGCUCUCGCACAUGUUGCCAUUGUCCUUGUCCAUGGUGGAUGAUGCGGUGCUGCCCAUGUGCUGGAGGCAGUGAGGAGGUGUGGGUGCAGACCCCUGAGACAGAGAGUUUGUGGGUGUGUGGUUGAAGCUCAGAAGGGGGAAGUGAUGCUGGGGGCCGAGCUGAUGCCAGAUCUCAGUAAUCAUGGAGCCAGCAUGGUCAGCAGAGUCUCUGGACCCUGCUGGGCAACAGAGGCUGACCACCCACUCAUGGGCUUCUAGAAACUCCGUUUAGGACCCAGGACUUCCUGGCCCCUUUUGUGGGUGUGGAGUGGGGAGCUCCGGUCCAGGAAUGAAGGGGCUGGGAAGGGAUGUCAGGGAGAAGGGGUGGGCAAUAGCCUUCUUUGGUUGGACAUCAUAGGGCUCUGUGCCAAAGCUUGUAUCAUUUCCUAUACUCCGAAGCUGGAGGAGCUGGCCAAGUGCACGGUGAGCACGUGGGCAGAGUCCCCGCUGCAGACCUCUGCCCCCGUCUGAGCCGGUCACAGCACUAAGGUAGGAGCUGCCCCUGGUCCUGAACUCUGUGCCAGGGACCUGGUGACUGCGUGGCAGAGCUGGCUUUGCAGUGGUUAAAUCCACAGGGUGAGUGAUGCUCGGUGGAACCCAUGGGCACAAAUGACAGCGACCUGCACUAGGAACUUAUGAAGAAACUCCGGACGGCAGUGCCUGGAUGGCACGCUGCAUGGGUUGCAGUGCCUGCAGGGGCUGAGGCCCGUGGGCAGUGCUCCUUGGCAAAGCCAGGUAGUCCUUUGGACCCCAGGGGUGAGAAGGCGCCUGAGGCUACAGGUGGUCUACUGGAGGUCGGGUCAGCCUGUUGACUGGCAAGCGUCACGCUGGCAGCAGAAGAGGUUCAGGGUGAAACAGCCUGGAGGUGACCUGGGCUGGCAGGUGGGAGGCAGGUGCCCACCUGACCAGUCUGUAACUAACUAGUUGCCUAGUUACAGAUGCUGGGGAGGGCAGCCAUGUGACUGGCCAGUGCUGAGGACCAAUUAGAAGAUGCCCUUCGCAAUCUUGAGUCCCUUUUGCUUUGGGUGGGAGAGGGUUGAGUUGGCUCUGUGUCUCACCUCCACCCGUUUGCUAGAGGCCGUCUUUGUCAGGACACCAUCACAGUUGGUGGUCGAGGUCAUAUGAUGGAACGUGUUGGCAUUUUGGGUCUUCACCCCUGUGAUGGAGGGUCAGUUGGACUCACGAAGGGGCUGUGGAGCAGGGAGACGGAAACACAUAGAGACAGGAAGCAGACGCGCGACUGUCAGGGCUGAGCGAGUGGAGCUGGGGCAUGACUGCUUAAUGGGCACAGGGUUCCCAUUGAGAUAGAAAUGUCUGGAACUAGAGGGCAGUGGUGUGCACGAGCACAGAGAAUGUGGUUAGUGCUGCUGAAUUGUACAAUUUAAAGCAAUUGCAGGGCUAAUUGUCAUUGAAUUUGAAUUUGAACACAUGAAAUAUAAAAGCAAAGAUGAUAUGCAAAAGAAAAGCAAGAAAAACGUGCCUUCCUGGGCAGGUGAGCGAGCCCUGGGGCUGGAGCUGGUGUGGCUGGAGGUCAGCUGUUGGAGCUGAAGGUGUUGCAGAGGUGGAGCCGGCCCAGAGCGGGAGCUGCGGCUGAUGCUGAGAUGCUGCUGGCCCUGCCGAGGGUCUGGCCCGGGAGCAGUGCCUGCACUGGGGCUGAAGCUGGCCCUGUCUCUGGCCGUAGUGUUAGAACCAGCUCUUGACCUGGCUGUGGUGCUGAGGCUGACUCUAGGUCUCUGGUAUUACUCCCAAAUUUGGUGCAAGAACCAGCACCUGCCGAGGCUUCCAUUGUGGAGCCGGUCCCUGUGUUUGGGUGGAAGGGGCUUUGGUUCUGUUGCUGGUGACAGAGCUGACUUUAGUCCAAGUUGGUGCAAAUUGUGGGGCUUUUUUGGCCUUAGCUUUGUAGGGCAAGGCGACCCCGGCCUUCCUGCGUGUAUCAGAUGUGCCUCUACUUACCCAGGGGGCGAACAGUCCUGUGAUGACUCUGGCUCUCUUCCUGGUCCUGGUGCAGACGUUGGCCAGGCUCCAAGCUGCUGCUGUAACUGGUUGUGUCGUGGGUGCCAGUGCCCGGGGGUCUGCUGAAGGUGGCACUACAGCCAGUGACAGAAGUGACAGUCUAGAGCUGCUCUUAGUUCUGCGGCUGUUUUCUGAAGCUGGAUCUAAGUCUCAGAUGGUAAUAGGCCUGGUGCUGGAGCCAGCUCUGCUCUAGAUCUUGAGAUGGCGCUGAAACAGCAAGAAGAGGAAAGACCAGGCACCUGACUGCCCUUCCGUGUGACUUCCCGAAGAGAGACACGUCCUGCAGCCUUCCCCCGCGGUGCAGGGCUGGCUCCCUAAUGGGAGCUGAUACUGGGGCCGGCUCCAAGCCUGGCGGUGGUGUGAGAACUGGUGGGAGAGCUGGUGAUGGAGAUGGCCUUAGCUCUGGAGUUAGAGCCAGAGCUCGCUCUUGUUCUGGAGCUGGUCUGUUUGAGCUGCAGCCGGCUCUAGUCUGAGCUGGCACCAGCUGCAGCUCAAUAGUUGCUGUCAGGGUGGGCACUAGUCUACGGAUGGGGCACGUCCUAGUCCUUCAGGGGACUCUGGCCCUGGACCGGCUCCAGAGCCCGCUCUAGCUCCACAGCUGUGCAAGAUGUUGUGCUGGAGAUGCCCUGGUUCUGCCCCCCCACCUGCAGCUGUGGCUGAGAUGCUGCCCUCGCCUCUCCCCCUGCCCCGUGGCUGUGAGCGCCGAGGAAACAGUGGCAUCUAGGAUAUAAGAUGAUGUGAUAUUUCAGCUGACUGCACCCAGCAGGGAACAGUGCACAGACGCUCAAUGCACGCAAAAGUAAAUGAAUGAACCCAAGCUAUUGCCCCCUCAUUCACAGAUGGACAAAAUCCACAUGAUGAUCCGAACUGAUGUAGAAAAGGGACAGGCAAGAUUCAACACCUUUUCAUGAUAAAAAAAGACAACAAACUAGGAGUAGACGGAAACAACUUCAACACAAUAAAGGCCGUUUCUGAAAAACCCACAUUAACACUGAGUGAUGACAGACUGAAGUAUUUUCUCUAAAAGCGAGAACAAAGCAAUGAUACUGAUUCGCCAUUUGUAUUCAACACAGUCCUGGAAGUCCUAGCAAAGGCAGUCAGGCAUGAAAAGGAAAGGUAUUCAAAUUUGCAGGGGAGAAGUGAAUUGCUUCUGUCGUCACGUGAUGUGACCUUGUGUGGGAGCUCUUAUCUAAGGAUUCCGCCAGAAAAUACUGUAGGACUAAUAAAGUACUUCAGCAAAAUCACUGGACACAAAGCCCGCCCACAAAUGAGCUGCCUUUCUGUAUGCUAACAGUCACAAUCUAAAAUUCAGAGUCCAUGUACGGUGGCAUCAACAGGACAAAACACUGAGGAAGAAAUCUAACCAAGAAAGUGAAAGACUUCUAAAUUAAAGACAAAUAAAUGGGAAGAAACCUCGUGCACAGAUGAGCAGACGGUGUCACUACAGUGUUCGUACUACCACAGGCAGUCCACAGAGUGCAAUCUCCGUCAGUCCCUCUGUGUUUUCUUUGCAGAAAUAGAAAUAUUUAUCUAAAACCCUUUUGCAAUCUCAAGGGAACCUGAGCUGCAGAAACAAAAUUGUAAAGAGCAACAUAGGAGGAUGCCACCUCCUGACUCCAGAACACAUCACAAAUCUUUGUUAAUCAAGGUGGCGUGGCACUGGCAUGACAAUAAGUAGACCAGAGGGACGGCAUAGACAGCCCAUAGGGGAACCCUUGUGUGUGUGUUCAGUUGGCCUUCAGGAGGGAGCCAGGGCACGCAGUGGGGAAAGGACAGUCUCUUCAGCAAAUGAUGUUGGGACAGCUGGAUGUUUAUGUGCGGAAGAACAGAACUGGGCCCUUACACUGUACAAAAAUUCACUCAGAACGGAUUAAAGACCCAGAUGAGAGUCCGAAAUCUACGAAACUCCCAAAAUAAAACGGGCAACGCUCAUGACACUAGAUUGAUAACGAUUUUCUGUAUGUGACUGCAGUCACAGGAAACAUCAGCAACAGAGCAAAUUGACCCACGCCAGAGGAUGUGGCAGUUGAAAAGACAGCCUGCAGAGCGGCAGGAAAUAUUUGAAAGUCAUGUCUCUAACAAUGGGUUAAUAUCCAAAAGGAGUAAAGUACUCGUGCUUGUUGAAAAAUGGGCAGAGGGCUUGAAUAGACAUGUCUUCAAUGGUACACAGAUGGCCACAAGCAUAUGAAAAUGUGCUUAAAUCACUAAUCAUUAGAGCAAUAUAAACCCCAAACACAAAAAGAGAAAAUGUCACACAUCAGAUGAGGCUGACUGCUUAAUUAAAAAUAGAGAAGAUACCAAGUAUUUGCAAAGAUAUGGAGAAACUGGAACUUGCGUGCGCUCUUGAUAUGAUUUUAAAAUGGCAUAACCACUGUGGAAAACAGUAUGGAGAUGACUUAAAAAAAAAACAACUGCUUUGUGAUCCAGUAUUCCAAACUCUGUGUAUAUAUCCAGAAUUGGAAGCAGAGUCUGGAAGAGCAAUUUGCGUGCCAGUAUUUCACAACAGCCAAGGGGUGGAAGCACCCCCGUGUUCAGCAGUGGAUGAGUGGGUAAACAAACGUGGCUGAGUCAUACAGUGAAAUACUAUUCAACCUUAUAAUGAAAUCCUGGCACAUGCUAAUGUCAUAGGUGAAUCUUGAGGACAUUAUGAUAAGUGAAAUAAGCCAUUCACAAGAGAGAAGCACAGUGGAAUCCACUUCUUGGAGGCCUCUAAAGUGGUCUUACUCAUGGAAAUGGAAACUAGAAUGGUGCUUACCAGGAGACUUGGGGCAAGGGAGACGGGGGAGUCUUGUGUGGGGUGUGGAGUUUCCCAUUUGCAAGAUGAAAAGCUCUGGGUGGAGAUUUGUUUCAUAGCAAUGUAAAUGUACUGAGCACUACUGACCUGUGCACUUAACAUGGUUAAGAUGGUAAAUUAAAUGCUAUAUCUUAAAAAAAAAAAAACCCGUACAAUAAAAAGAGAGUAAUUUUAUGUGAAGCUGUUUAAACUGAGCCCAACACAGACUUACUUAUAUGGACAAUUUCAUCAGAAAAAAUUGGACAGAAGAUUUGACUAGGCGUUUCACAAAGAAAAGUCACCAAAUGGUGGUGGUACGCACAUUAUUACUCCUUUAGGUAUACUGCUCUAGGAAAAUGCAGAUUAAAGCCAUAGUGAGAUGUCACCACACGUACGCCAGAGUGGUUGAGGUGGAAACAUCCUGCAGCGCUGGCGAGGACGUGGGCAGCUCAGGCCUCUCACUCAUGGCUGUUUGAGUAGAAAUUGUUCAGUCCCCUUUCUGAGGUUUUGUUGAUAGGAAUGGAUUCCCCAGUGGCUUAGUCAGGAAAGAAUCUGCCUGCAGUGCAGGAGACUGUGAUGUGGGAGACGUGGAUUUGAUUCCUGGCUUGGGAAGAUCCCUGGAGAAGGAAAUGGCAAACCACUCCAGUAUUCUUCCCUGGGAAAUCCCAUGGACAUAGGAGCCUGGCGGGCUACAGUCCAAGGAGUCUCAAGAGUCAUGCACGACUUAUCAACUAAACCAUCAUCACCACCACCAUUGAUAGGGAUAGAGUAGGAUAAUUAAAUAGUCAGUUUAGAAAUCCCACUACGGGAUUAAAGAUAGAACAGAAAUUUUAAGGGAGUUUGGGAGGCUGUUGUAAGCUAAUAACCACUCAAGAAGAGAAUCCAGUAACCUAGUGACAAUCUGCGCUACUUUGAAGGAAGACAGGUGCAUCUAAGCACUAGGAACACUCACGCCUCGAGCCAGGUAGUUAAAGCACAAGACAUGAGAUUCGGGGUUUCUGAAUCCUGUUCCAUGAAGUCAGGGAGUUAAUAGUUCUUGGAGGGUAGCGUUUCUACAUGUAGCCAAGACAGAAAUGUAGGUGGGAGGGGACGGUGUCCUGAAAGCUGAUGCGUUGCCGUGUUUUAGCGCUGCCAUCCUUGUGCUAACUGUACAUGUGAUUUGAACAGUGCCGUGACAGUCUGGGCUAGACCCUGUAGGGUCAGAAGAGGAGCUAAUGAUGUAAGCCUUGAAGUCUGCCAAUGAGGAAGAAGGUGGGGGUCUCCCCUGCCCACUUUUGUUUACAAAAAUAAAGCCCUCUCAGUCCUCAAGGCAGGGCCUGCUCACCUGCCCACUUGUAUCUCUCACAAGCGCGGAUGCUCAUAAACUCACUCUUUGCCUACCACUUUGCCUCAUGUUCAGUUCUUUCUGUGAUGAGACCAAAAAAAAACCCUGAGCUUUAGUAAGUCCUGACACCUGGUUAAUGGUUUCAGUGAAGACAGUGGGUUCAAGUUCCCUCCUAAGUCAGGGAUUGUGGGUUUAAGUUCCAUCCCGAGGUGCGGGUGGGUUUGAGUCCCACGCAAGGAAUGCAGUUUCAAUACUUUGUCAACAUGGACAUACACUUACUCCGUCCUCGCACUUCUGCCCAGACGUACGACCCAGCACAGGUGUGUGUUUCACCAUUACAUUUCCUCUGGCUGGGGUAGGGAAGCCCACCUUGUAUAAUAAUAGAUACUUUCAACAUUGUAGAAAUAUAAAUUUUUAGUAACGAAGUUUGGCUGUAAAACAAGGUUACAUUGUACAUGUGCAUUAAUGGCUUGAAAAAAUUAUUUUGGAGCCUAUUUUUAUUAAGAGGAGGGAUAGCUUCCAAAGAGACCUGAGGCUCCUAUGUAGUGGACAAGUCCGUCUCCAGUGGGUGGAAGGGUAUGAACAAGGCUGACUGGGCAUUUGAACUAGACAGUGAAUGAAAAAUCUGCCUCAGGCAGAGAAAAUGUUCUCAAAAUCUUAUGUAAGUUUUGUCCAGCUUCAUGAUGGUCUUAGCACAUCAAAGACUGUCAAGUGGCUGUUCCACGCAUCCUCUGAGACAGUGGUUCUCAAGUCAUCAGUAGCACCAGCUACUAGUCAGAAAUGCAGGUACUCAGCACACACUCCACCCUCUUGAUUUGGAAAAACUGGAUGAGGCCCAGCAGACUGUGUUAGGAGGGAAGGUGUUUGUCCUCUCUCUACCUGGGCCAUUUUUACUCUCGUAAUGGUGUCAUUUGGUGUAGAGAAUUUCUUAAUUUUAUAAAGAUCCAAUUUAUCAAUUUUUCCAUUUGUUAAUGUACUCUGGGUUCUAAGAAGUCUUUGCUUACUCCAAGAACAAAAAUAUUCUAUUCUACUAGAAAUGUCAUCGUUUUAAACUCUCACACUCAGAUCUAAUAUCCACCUUGAUUUUUUUUUUAAGUAUUUGUGCUUUUAUUUUGCCUAAUUAAGGUCAUGCUGUGUUUACAGUGUUCACACCUGAUUUUUGUACAUCUAGUAUUUCAUUAUUUUAUAUUGUUUUAUAAAACCUUUCUAAAAGUGUUUUAUCUUACUUUUUUAAAUUAUGAAAGUAUGAUAACACAUUUAAUAUUUACAGGAGACUUGGAACAUACAG